rnacentral:rRNA from 1 species
CAGUCGCCGCGGUAAUACGGAGGGGGCUAGCGUUGUUCGGAAUUACCGGGCGUAAAGCGCACGUAGGCGGCUUGGUAAGUUAGAGGUGAAAGCCUGGAGCUCAACUCCAGAAUUGCCUUUAAGACUGCCGAGCUAGCAGGUGAGAGAGGUAAGUGGAAUUCCGAGUGUAGAGGUGAAAUUCGUAGAUAUUCGGAAGAACACCAGUGGCGAAGGCGGCUUACUGGCUCAUACUGGACGCUGAGGUGCGAAAGCGUGGGGAGCAAACAGGAUUAGAGACCCCCGUAGUCCCUGUCUCUUAUAC